ensembl:lncRNA
CACACACACACACACACACACACACACACACACACGCACACACACACACACAUUUAUUAAACACACAUUAAACACAUUAAAUGACUUCAAGCAUUGAAUUUUUCUAGAUUGGAUUUAGUGAAAUUAUAAGAGUGUAGCGUUAGUAACAUUGCUUAUUCUGAACUAGGCCAACCACUACUAAGUGACAUAAUUGCAUGUCAUCAUGACUCAAAUUCACUUCUUUGUCAAGUCAAUACUAUUCGCCCCCUGCUGUGUUACUCAGUAAACUGAUGUUUAUUUGUAUCCUGUAAAAACCUGCAUGACAAAUCCACCCUUUUGCACAAAAGAGAACUGUCCUGUCUUUCCUUUUCCACAAAAAAGAAAAAAAGAAAAAGCAAUGGAAAGGGGAACACCAGAACUGAAAGUACUCUACAUGUGUUCUUCAUCUGGUGUGAAAAAGGCCCUAAAUCAACCUUCAGUAAAAACUGAAAAAAAAGAAAAAGAUGAUCUCAGUAAGCUGCAGGGGAUGCAAAAAAGCUGGAGAAAAAGGGAAAUCUCGAGGUCCAGCAUCCAGGACUUGUCCAGUGUCCAAGUCCCCCCUGCCCUGUAAAGCCAACUAUCUCUGCACACAAUGAUCAUAAACAAAUAUUUCCCAAAGACUGAGUUCUAUUUCUGCUUAUGUGGACACGGAAGAUGUAAAACUUAUGCAGCAUCUUAGAUUUCAAAAGGACCAGGGGAAAAUACACAAGUUUAACAACGGGAUGAAAAUAAGAAUCAUGUUGAUCUGAAUGUUAAGCAAAGCCAGAUCGCUCCACAAAGCCUCUGAGUGAUGGAUUGAUGGUCAGGUUGCGGACAGCACACAGCUAUUGCAUAAUUUGGCUGCUCUUGUUUACAAGUUAUUUCUCAGACACUAUCUAUAAUCUAACAGUUAUAAUAUAACAGCUCAAGACUUCAUGUAUUUGAUACAGUGGCGCAAAAGUGUUUUAUUGCAGUGCCAAUAACACUCUGAGCAACAGUCAAAGCAGCACAGCGUAUGCAAGAAAUAUUUAAUAGGUGCAGAGGUUAGACAAUUUAAGAGGAGGUAAAGUUUG